rnacentral:lncRNA from 1 species
GUGUUAACUAGCUCGAGCUGGCUAAUGUUAGCCACUAGUCAUGUAGACUGAGUGUUGGCAGUGGUGUGCUACAAUCCACCAAUCAUGAGGAGGUGUGUUGUAAACAACCAAUCAGAUUCUCCACACAUCAGGGCUCCAUGAAUAGGCUUCCAGUGUUUUUCAAUCUUGGCUUAGUACUAGCAUGCUACAAUAGCUGACUGUGCUGUUGUGAUCAUUUCCAUCUGUCUGGAGCUUCCCUCCGAAGCGCCUCUCUCCGUGGCUUUUUUUUUGUAGCUAACUCAGCCGUCAAUCAGAUUCCUCCAAGCCUCUCCAGUGGAGAGGCUCCGAGUUGGGCAUCUCCGGCGCGGCCCACGCUUGGAUUGCAUCCUACCUGACAGGUCGCUCCUACCAGGUGGCGUGGCGAGAAUCUGUCUCCGCACCACGUGCUCUCACCACUGGUGGCGAAUCGCAUCUCUGCAUGUCUGGCAGACAUAUCAGUGUGGAUGACGGAUCACCACCUCAAGCUGAACCUCGGCAAGACGGAGCUGCUCUUCCUCCCGGGGAAGGACUGCCCAUUCCAUGAUCUCGCCAUCACGGUUGACAACUCCAUUGUGUCCUCCUCCCAGAGUGC